rnacentral:rRNA from 1 species
CAGUAGCCGCGGGAAUACGAAGGGUGCAAGCGUUACUCGGAAUUACUGGGCGUAAAGCGUGCGUAGGUGGUGGUUUAAGUCCGUUGUGAAAGCCCUGGGCUCAACCUGGGAAUUGCAGUGGAUACUGGGUCACUAGAGUGUGGUAGAGGAUAGUGGAAUUUCCGGUGUAGCAGUGAAAUGCGUAGAGAUCGGAAGGAACAUCUGUGGCGAAGGCGACUAUCUGGGCCAACACUGACACUGAGGCACGAAAGCGUGGGGAGCAAACAGGAUUAGAUACCCGAGUAGUCCCUGUCUCUUAUAU